UACGUAGGUGACCAGCGUUGUCCGGAUUUACUGGGCGUAAAGAGCGCGCAGGCGGUCGUUCAAGUCGAGUGUGAAAGCCCCCGGCUCAACCGGGGAACGGGCGCCGAUACGAGUGAUCUGGAGGCGGGUAGGGGGAGCCGGAACUGCCGGUGGAGCGGUGAAAUGCGUUGAGAUCGGCAGGAACGCCCGUGGCGAAAGCGGGCUCCUGGACCUCGCCUGACGCUGAGACGCGAAAGCCAGGGGAGCGAACGGG
rnacentral:rRNA from 1 species